rnacentral:piRNA from 1 species
UAAAGAUAAGAGACUGAGCAGAGCCUUA